GGGGAUCCACAAGAUAGCCUUAAAACCUUACAGAGAGACCCCCCAACUUAGUUUUUUCUUAAGCAAAUCAGUAGGGUGUUACUUGCUACCAAAUAAUGCCAACUAAGACAACUGAGAUACAGUAUAUUCUCAUAAAACACCAUAGUUAGGGUUGGUGACUUGAUCCUAUAGAAAAGGGUCUCCAACCCCUGGGCCACAGACCGGUACUGGUCCCUGGUCUGUGAGGAACCAGGCCAUACAGCAGGAGGUAAGGGAGCAUUCCUGCCUGAGCUUUGCCUCCUGUCAGAUCAGCCGCAACAUUAGAUUCUCAUAGGAGUGCGAACCCCAUUGUGAACCCCACAUGCGAGGGAUCUAGGGAGUGCCCUCCUUAAGAGAAUCUAAUGCCUGAUGAUCUGAAAUAGAGCAGUUUCAUUCUACAACCAUCCCCGCCCCCCCGUCCCCCAUCCAUGAAAAAAUUGUCUUCCACAAAACUAGUCCCUGGUGCCGAAAAGGUUGGAGACUGCCAUUCUGAGAAAUACCAACAAAACGUCACGUUUAUUGUCUGCCAAGUGAGUCAGAUUUAGAUGAGGCAGAACUUAGUAUAGAGCUGGGAUGAAUCAGAAAGGGUGGGCCUUGAAACCUGGUAGAAUGUGUCCAAGAAAACUGAUUAAAAGGCUUAGAAGUCCCUCUACAGUUUCAGGACACCCUCUUAACAGAUGGCUGUAUCUUUAUCUGUGGUUGGUCUUGUGGAAUACUGACCUUCUGCCAGCAUUAGCCCAUGUUUCUAUCUCACACCACAUCGUGUAUAUUUUCAUUGUGUAUUUGGACUCAGAAUAAGUUUGGGCCUUUUAAUUAUGGUAUACCCAAUUACUUAGUCCUACUCACACCCUGAUCCUUUAAAAAUUCUUGAUUGUGUUAAUUGCAUUUUUCUCAAGUUUACUCCUUGUAACUCUGUGUGGUUUUUUUAAUCUUUAUUCAUUUAGUAAAGUUGAAACCUUUCAUAGCACAAUAUAGUGAUUAAGUGCAUAGGCUUGGGACUUAAACACAUGUGGGCUUGCUUGUCUCCCAGUUCUGCUGCUUACCACCUAUGUGACCUUUCACUCUUUACCUUUCCACUCAGCCUGUUCUCUCACUAUAAAAUGAGACUGAUGCCAGCAUCAUCUUCACAGAGUGAUUAUGGAGAUAAUUAAGUUAAUGCAUGUAAAGUACUUUCCAUAAUGCCUGGCACAUAUUAUAUUAUGUAUUAGUAAAUGUAAGCACUAAAAAAAUCAGUAUUCUUCCUACACUUGAAAAUAGUUGUCUGCAUAGUGUAUUAAUGAGUUAAUUCACCUUGAUCCACGUAGUUAUCAGCCAGUAUUAACUGCUAGUAUUCGCAUUGUGCCUUUUUUAUUAUGAAACAUUUCAAUUAAUACAGAAAAAUGCAGAAAACAAUGUAAUAAAUACCUAAGUAUCUGUCAUCCAGCUUUUAUAAUCUUAUUUUUACCUAUAUAUGUUUUUUCUUUUAAAAAGGAAUGAUUAUAGUUGAAGUCUGUAUAGCCCUGUCUCAUUUCAUUUAUCUCCGUUUACCCACUUAAGUAACUGCAGCUCUGAAUUUGAUGUUUAUCAGAAUGGUUUUAUAUCCUUAUUAUAUGUAUAUAUGCAUACCUAGGAUUGUUUUUCUGAUUUUGAAACUUUAUAUAAAUGCUAUUAUUCUGUACAAAACCUUCUGGGACUUGUUUUACCACUCAUGUUUUUGAGAUGUAUCCACACUAACAUGUUUCUCUAACUCAUUCAUUUAAAUGCUGUAGUUCAUUAUCACAAUGUAUUCAUUUUCUUCUUGAGCAUCUCAGUUAUUUCCAAUUUUUGACUUAUAAACAAUGCUGCAAUGAAAUACUUGACAUAUUUCCUUGUGCACAUGUGAGCAUUUCUUGAGAUAUGUAUCUCGAACUUGAAUCACUGACCAACAGGAUAUUCUUAAUAUUCAGUUUCACCAGAUACUUCCAAAUUGAUCUCCAUAACAUACAUACCAAAUUAUACUCCUACCAGCAGUUUAUAGUUCGCAUUUUUUCCAUACCCUCCCAAUCCUGCCUUGGCAGAUUUUUUUUUCCAGUGAAUGACAAUGAAAUUUUGUUUUGGGAUUUGACAAAAUGAUUCUAGAUUCAUCUGGAAGAAAAGCAAGUAUAAGUAAGAAAGUUAAAAGGGACCUGAAAAACUAAGCCGUGCGUAUAUUUAAAAAUUGGUACCAGUAGGCAUAAUCAAAUAUUUGUUAGCUGUAGCAGAAACAAUGCAUGUUUUUCUCAGCGGUUCCACCUUCUAGCUCUCAGUCAAGCCCUGCCCAGGUGUGGUACUCCUCAUAGUUUCUUACUGUAGGUGGUCUUCUCACAUAGUAGACAGCUCUCUUGAGUUGAAUAUUGAAAAGAAGGCUUGGUGUGGGGCAGUGGCUCACGCCUGUGGUCCCAGCACUUUGGGAAGCUGAGUCAGGCGGAUUGCUUGAGGUCAGGAGUUUGAGACCAGCUGGCCAACAUGGUGAAAACCCAUCUGUAUAAAAAGUACAAAAUUAGCUGGGGGUGGUGGCGCAUGUCUGUAAUUCCAGCUACUCGGGAGGCUGAGGCACGAGAAUCGCUUGAACCCAGGAUGCAUUGGUUGCAGUGAGCUGAGAUCGCACCACUGCACUCCAGCCUGGGCGACAGAGAGAUUUUGUCUAAAAAAAAAAAAAAAAAAGGCUUAAAUCCAACUGUUUCCCUGCUGUUCAUUUUAUCGGAGAACUGGGGAUAUAGGCUACUGCACAUGAUGGGUUGCUGGAUGUGAAAUGAUAACUCAGGACUUUAAUUCUAAUUUUUCUAUAUUCUCAUGAGGUUGAGCAUAUUUUUACAAGUUCAUAAUCCGUUUUCCUCUGAUGGGAGUCACCUGUUUGAAUCCUUUGCCCUCUUGCUUUUUGGGGUUAUUUGCAAUUUUUGCAUUGAUCUUUAAACAUUGUUAAUAACUCCCAGGUACAUAUUAUUUUAUAUGUAUAUUAUAUAUAUUUUAGAGACAUAUAUGCUGAUAGUAUCUUUUCUCAGUCUAAGGCUUAUCUUUAAUUUUGUUUAUGGUGUUUUGUGUGUGUUGUUUUGCAGAAGUUUUAUUGUAUCUGAAUUGUGGCUUUUCUGUCUUUCUGAAGAAAUUCUUUACCUACUGUCAUACAAAUUUUUCUCUAAAAAUUUUAUGAUUUUGCCUUUCCAUUUAUCUUGUUAAUUCUCUUUGAAAUUACUUUUGUUUAUGGCAUGAAGUCCAUUAUUUUCCGUAUGGAUAAUCAGUUGUCUUAGCAGUUUAUUGAAUAGUCCAGUGUUUCACUGCUGAUUGUAAUGCCUUCUCUGUCAUUUAUCCUAAAUUCUUGAUAUCCGGUAAGGAAGUCUCCUCUGCCCACCCUUCUCUGUAUUUCAAAAUGGUUUUGACUGUUCUUCACCCCUGGCUCUUUCUGUGAACUUUAGGAUUAAAUGAUUACGUAGAAUUAAACAAUCAGGUUAAGAUUUUUGAUUAGAAUUACACUGAAUCUAUAGAUUAAUUUGGGAAAAGAAUGUUGUCUUUCUAUCCAUGAUCAUUCUGUAUCUCUCCAUUAAUUCAAGUAUUUAAUGGUUUUAAAAAAUAAAUUAUUGUCUCUUUGAAAAUCCUUACACAUCCUUUAUUGCACUGAUUCCUAUGUAGCUUAUGUUUUUGUUGUUGCUUUGGAGAAUAGGCUUCUUAAAAUUAAAUGUUAAAUUGAUCAAUGCUGGAGUAUAUAAAUGCUAUUGAUUUUUAUAAAAUGAUUUUGUCUAAUAAUCUUACAUAAUUCUUUUGAUAUUCUAAUGGUUUGCCUGUAGAUCCUAUUGACUUUCUAUGGAGACCGUCAUGUUGUCCUCAAAUAAGAAAAUGUUUGUCUCUUCAUUUCCAAGUCUUAUGCCUCUACUUUUAAUCAACAGCUUAAUGUUAAACAGAAGUGGUGGUGCCAGACAUCUCUGUCCUGAUUCUGAUUACUAUUUACUUUUCUUUCUCACAUGCAACUAUAACAUUAUUCAAUUCUUAUAACAUGGUGAGAUAGGUGGAAUAGGCACUAUCUCCAUUUCUAGUUAAGGCUUAGCGGGCCAGAGUAUCACUCAAAAACACACAGCUAGUAGAUGUCAGAAUAUGGACUCCAGAUUUUCUGGCUUCAAAUCCUGUGUGAUUAUCUCAAGUAUCACAGCUGUUUUCAUACAACCUAAAACAGGAUUGAUGGCAUUUAUUUAUUCAACAAACGUUUGAGUGCAUGUUGUAUACCCGAUACUCAAGAUGAAAUGAUCAUUUCAUAAUUUCUAACCUGAAGGUUAUAGUAAGAGAAGCUGAUGACAUUCUGACUAUAAUCACCUUUCUGACUUAAAAAAAAAA
ensembl:lncRNA